ACCCACUGAAUGAAGCCAGGGAUUGAACCCGCAUUCUCAUGGAUACUAUGUGGAUUCGUUACCACUGCGCCACAAUGGGAACUCGUGAGAAUUUUUCUUAACUUCCUGAUGAUUGGCUUUUGGGUAUUAGGGCAAAGUCUCACAAAGGUGGGAAAGCUUGUACCAGUACCAUGCUAGCUCUAUCUUCUUUUAAACAAUUUAUCAAGCUACCUUUAACUCUGGCCCCUCAGUGCUCUCUUUCCCAUGAGCUUCUUGGAUUGUUGAUAUUAGGUCCACCCAGGGUGAAUUUAAGCUAAAACUGGCAGUAGAUUCCAGGAAGCCUUCUACCUAAUAUCUACUAAUCUCUGUGGGGGUCUUGAUGGCAGAGGGAUGGGAGAAGGUGAUGAGGCAGAAAGAAAUAGUGGCUGAGCCAUUAUCCUGGUGGAUUGGGGAGAUGGCUGAAUUAUCUAGGAGAGGUUAUUAAGAGUCAGAGAAUUCUUAGUCAAUCAAAAUAUAAAAAUCUAAGACUGUAUGUGCUGUAGGCAUGUCUGGGGAGAAGCAUGGAGCCCUGUUUAAGGCUGUAGUGUGAAGCAGGGUAGCUGUUAAGGGCCCCCAUAAACAUUAGUUAGGGAACAUCAGUCACACCCGAGGAAGGCUCUGCUCCUGUUAUUGAGGAUUGUUGAAGAAAUGAAUCAUAUUCUUGGUGAAAGAAUAGCUGUGUUUAUUCGUUGUGUUUUACACUGUAUUGAAGCCACAGCCCUGGAGAUUUAUGCUACCAGUAACUUUGUUUUAUAGAUAAGGACUCCAAGACUCCAUAAUUGCUUAAUAUCUCCAGCCAGAGUUGAAACUCAGGUCUGUCUGAUUCUGAAACCUGUGUGCUUAACCAUAUGUAUCUUGUUAUAAAAAUAACUGAGUUCCCAAUGUGGCUCAGUGGAAACGAACCUAACUAGCAUCCAUAAGGCCUUGCUCAGUGGGUUAAGGAUCUGGCAUUGUUGUGAGCUGUGACAUAGGUCACAGGCUAGAUUUGGAUCCUGUGUGGCUGUGGCAUAGGCCAGCAGCCACAGCUCUCACUCGAUCCCUUGCCUUGGAACCUUCGUAUGCCAUGGGUGCAGCCCUAAAAAUACAAAUACAAAUACUACUACUACUAAUAGUAACUGUAUGUGACUAAUUUACAAAGCUGAAAAUUAUAGUUCAGUUUAUGAUGCCGAGAGCAAGCAAAACACUGUAAAAGGCUUUGGCAGGUUAAUUGGGUAGUACUUACUUGGGGAAGAUGACUUUAGGAACAGUUGUAGCAUGAGAGAAUGAUACAUAGCUUUUUCCUUUGCAUAGAUUUAGAGGAUCUUGAGAUGCCUUUGAAUUUGGGUAGUCUGCCCAUAGAGUCUCUGCUCAGCUGCAGCCCUGUGGAUUGGCAGAGCAGGGUUUUUUGAUGAGAAGGCUGGACCUUAGUAUUCAAGGCCAGGAGAUGAUAGUGCCAGUUCUGAAACAUGGCACCCUUCUCUUUUCUCUUGACCAGCUCACAGAAUGGCUUUUAGAAUAGCAUUAUUGUUUUCCAUAUAUCUAAUAUGGACCUGGUCAGGAGAAAGGAACCCUGUCAUUAGGUAACAAAGUCUCAUUAGCUUGAUCCAAAUAAAGGGAAGUGAUUGGGAUUCUGGAGCUACAUCUUCUCCCCAAAGGUCAGGGGUCUUCACACUGUUUUGAGUAUAGGUAGUAAACUCAUUAACUUCAAUUCAUGUUUGCAUUAGUGAUUUCACUUGAUCUUCAAUACAACCCUGUAAGCGAGGCAGGAUAGUAUCAUUUGUCAGAUGGCGAGACUGAGGUUAAGCAACUUGGGCUUUGUCCCUCUCUUGAUCUUUGACCUUAAGCAAGUAAUUUAAACCCAAGCUUUGCUUUCUCCUCUGUAAAAUGAAAAUAACUAUACUUUCUUUGCCUGAGAGUCUUGAGAGAAUGAAAUGCUGUAUGUAAAACACUUAGCACAGUGCUUGGCAAGUAGUAGAUGCUCAGCAGUACGUGGAAUGGAUUGAAGCUAUCUGUCAUCACCAUCACCACUGGCUCACUUUAUUUAAACUGGGGCCAGAGACCCCUGUUGGCUUCUGGGUCUUAGGCUGCUAAAUGAGUGAGGAGUCCUCAGCCCCAUUGCCAGGAGAAGGAAAGACUGAGGAAGCCUGAGUAUAUCAUAUUAUAUAUUAUCCUUCACAUCUCAUCUUUAACCAACUCUGGAUAGGUUGGAUAUUUAUUUGGAGUACCAGACCCACAGUGGAGCCUCGGUGUCAGCUUCCUGGACUGCCUUUGUAAAGCUUUUAAGAUAAGAUCUGCACUGGUCUCGUGGGAGAGGGAUAUUCGGAUUGAUUCUGAAUCUCUUACUCCCCUAAGAACUGUGCCCUUUUCUCUGUAACUUAAGGACUUCACAGCUGUGUUGGUGUUAGGGAGUUUGGUGCUUCUCUUGACAGCUUGUGAAGGGUGGGCAGGCACCUGUGAAUUCUUCACUUGCCUCGUGAGAAUGACUUCACCCCAGGAUGUUGAGGUCCCAGUUAUCUCAUCUGCUACUAUAAAAUUCCUCUGUCUUAGAUACUAGUUUCUUUUAAGAUCAGUCUUUCCUUAACCCCUAGGGAUCUUGAACCCUGCUAAAUGUCGAGUGACUGAAUGGAGUCCUCUAUUUGCUUUUAGCUUGCAUUAUAGUGUUUGGUCUUAUCUCUCUGUUUCUUCCAUGGCAGUAAUAGCACUACUGGAAAAAGCUCUGGAUUGGGAGUUGGAGAUGCAGGUUCUAGUUGGGGCACCAGAAUUUUCUUGGACAAGUUGCUAUACGUUUUUGAGCCUCAGUUUCCCCAUAUGAAGAUAAAAUGGUUCUCUGUUCCUUUUUGGUUUGUGUCUUUUUAGGAGUAGACCUCUUCCCCCCCCCCCCCCCCCAAAUAAAAUCUUGCCUAGAGCCCUAUUAUAGAGACAGAACACAGUUUGUUUUGUUCUGGAACAGAGUUGCUGUGAUUGAAGCAAGUCCAGCAGUUUUGCUGCCCCCCACUGAUUCCUUGUCCCAAACAUAGAUGUGCAUUUUGUACUUGUCUGGGGGCCUCUAGGACUCUGUCAAGAGACUUUGGACAUUGCUGGUGCAGGAUCAUCUCUACAACGCUAAGAAUUUUUUUGCUGUUGACAGGUAGGUAGUAAAAAUCUGUAAAACCUGUAUGUUAAAUGUGUAAGUAGACCAUGGAGUCUUCAAGAAGAAUUAGAUUUUCACUGAUGUAUUUGAAAGAUUCUAAAGUUUGGCUCAGUCUGUAGUGUUUUGUAUAUUGUAGUGUCCAGUAAAGACUGACUUAAUUUUUGCUUGCAGGAUAAAUAUAGUUUUUUAAUAGUGGCAGACACUUUAUUUCCCUAUCUUAUGGACCAGUUCCUUCUGGGAAUACCUGUAGGAUCCAACCAUUAAUAUAAUUCAGUAGUGGAACUAGAUUCCUUUACAGAUUUUUCUCUUGUAGGUAUUUAGGUAUUCUCCAUUACAAUGUAUAUAAUAUAAAUAGAACAUUUGCUAUUGUUAACUUAUGUUUCAGGAGUCAUUCUAGUGCCAGUUCCAUAUAGAACUUUCUAAUUUUAAAGAGGAAGAGUGGAAUAGAAAGAAAAGCAUAUGUACUUUAGAAUAGAGGGAUCUAAGUUUGAAAAAGACUCUGUCAGUAACUAGCUAUGUUUGGGCAAACUAUUACUCUAGUUUUUCAAUCAUGAUUUACACAUUUGUAAAUUGAGCCAAUAAUACUUGCUAACCUUUUGCAGAACUGUUGUAAGGAUUAGGGAUAAUGGGUCUUCCUCCCCCCAGCGAAUGUUAAGUCAGACAAAAGGACAAAGAUUAGUCUGUUAGGGAAUUCUCAUAGAAGAGCAUCCAAUUUUGUUAUAUAUAUUGUUUUAUAUGAAUAUAUAUUAUAUAUUGUUAGUGGGGUCAAAUGGUAGAUCACCCAGUGUGAUUUAUUCUUGCUUAGGCAUUUAUUCACUUCAGGGAACACUUGUUUAUAUAUUACCCAUUUUGCAAGACGUAUUAUAGAGGAAUAAUUAAGAACAUGAACUCUAGAGCCAGCCUGCCUGGGUUUGAAUCUUGGCUCCACCAUUUACCUGCUGUAUGAUCUCAGGCAAGUUAUUUAACUUAUUUUUCUUGUGAGGAUAAUACCUACCUCCUCAGGAUUUUUUUUUUUUUUUUUUUUUUUUUUAAACUAGGGGACAAAUCCCUGUUGAGUCUUAUAGGAAGAGAAAAGUUAAGCGCACAGGCUGGAGAAAGGGUCUGGUAGCGUAGCACCAGUGAUACAGCUGAAAAUUUAGCAAGUGGCUGGUCUGACCCCAAUAGCCAAUCAUAGAUUUUUUUUUUUUUUUUAAAUUUUCCCCCUGUACAGCAAGGGGGUCAGGUUAUCCUUACAUGUAUGCAUUACAAUUACAUUUUUUCCCCCACCCUUUCUUCUGUUGCAACAUGAGUGUCUAGACAUAGUUCUCAAUGCUAGCAAUCAUAGAUUUGAGGAGAGGGGCUUGUACACCUGGAAGACAUCUGGGGUUAUCUUUAGCCCCUCUUUUACAUAUGGAGAAGGGUGAGAGUAUAAGCCUCAUUAAACAAACCACAGCAUGUUUAGUGGCAGAACCAACUGGGUUCUUAUACACACUCCUGGACUUUGUCCCUCUUACGCAACAGGGAAUACUCACUUUUUUAUUUUUAUUUUUUAAUUUUCACAAGAUUUUUAUUGUUUUUUGCUGUGCCCAUGGCAUGUGGAAGUUCCUGGGCCAGGAAUUGAACCCG
ensembl:lncRNA